AAUGCAAUAAUAUUCAGUUGACAUUCGUGGUUGACGCUGUUGUCGAUGCUUCAGCCAUGUGUUCGUGCUUUCGAUUUUAUGAAUAUGAGUGUUAUUUAAAUGCUGAAUUCUGGACAAUUUCGGUUUCGUGGUAAUUUGAAAUAUGCAUAACUGUAUAAUGUGGGGCAUGCUGAAGUGCGAUAUGAGAUCAUCGACCGUUCAAAGUAAUAAAAAUACAUACAAAUUGUACAUAUGUAAUAUAGGUAGUUGUACUUGAGUCUGAGUGACAGUUACAUGAAGAAGGCUUACGAUUUUCGUCUUUAUCUAAGCACACUUUGGGAAACGCUGAGGAUACAGUGAAUGAAUAGUUUGAAUGUCAGAUUGAUACCAGUGAUAUUAAUGAAGAUAUCCUUAGUUUAACGGGCAGUCUGACAGCAGCGUUCGAGCAGACCGAGUAAAGUCAAACAAAGUCAAAUUUGAGUUUCAGUUGAAUAAACGAAAUAAUCGACAAAGUGAUUAAUGGAAAUUGAUUGACAUACAUGUAGGAAAAUCGAGUUCUCACAGAGCCAAAUAUUUCGUUGAACUUGGAAAUAACGAAUAUAGAGAAAGUUUAAGGAAGCAUUCUGUAUAAACCCAUUUGUACUAGUACUGGGCUUUUACAUAAGGUAAUGGAGAAGAUGUUAUCGUCAAAAAUAUCGCUGCAUUUUUAAAGAGAAAUGUUGUUACGGUAGCUCAGAGUGUGGCUAUACCAUUCCCACAAUAGUCCACUCUAUGAAUACGGAACGGACUUGAAGCAGACCUGGAACUAAGGGGACGUAGCAAUAUUCUUUAAACUUAUUUUUGAAAAAUAGGACAAAUAAUGACUGAGGAAAAGUUGAUGUUAAAAAAAGGGAUUAAUUUUGGUGACCUUGGGCGAUCAGUGGACGUUUGGAGGCUAUAUAAAUCAAUAUUUGACAAAAUAAUAGAGUUUCUCUAUUCUAAGAGCUAGUACCAAAGUUUAUACAAUUGUCUAUGAGAUGACUUUGAUCAAAUCGAAACCCUCAUGAAAUUAUAUGCAUAGUUAAAAAGAAAGCUUUAAUGAUAGGGAAUUUUGAUUAAACAAAGACUUUGAAUUCCCAGAACGAUCUAUUUAUAAGAAAAAAAACUGCCAAUAAGAAAUUAAGUUAAUUCAGUUUGAAAAAAAAAAUAGUUUUAGGAAAUUAAACUGAGAAAUUAAGGUCGUUCUCAAGAAGGUCAUACAUGACCUCUUACUGGGAUAAGUUAGACUUUACAAUGUGCAAAUGUGGGUAAUAGUAGUAGAAGCUUCUUCUAAGAUAAUCAUUAAACAGUCAUCAAUUGAAGUAAUUUUUUUCUGAUCUUCAGUUACCUUCUACUACUCUACUUCGCCAGAAAAAGUUUUUUUUUCUAAGGAACUUCGAUUGGACUUCAAAGAUAACUUUCAGUAAGAAAAGAGGCGAAAAAAUUAUAUUAUGUUAAAGCGUUCGUCAUUUUGUGAUAAUUUGAUUGACUUUUGAGACAAUAUCGGUAAUCGGCAAAUGAUUUUGUAGUCAAAUAUAGUUAAAUUUGAUUUCAAAAUUUGAGAAAAAAUUUUGAAAAAAAUUGGCCGUUCACUUCUAAUUCUUACGUUAUACAGUUCUUCUAAAUAAAGGUUUAGAAAUGGGAGUAUAUGUAAGGCUCCUCGUCCUUACUCAUCUGUCUCAUACUACUUUUAGCUAUCUUAUGUCCUUUCAACCGUAAUGAAACUUGAAUCUCAUAAAAAAGUCUGUGCAUCAAAAGGGGUAAAAUGUAGUCUCAAUCGCCAACUUUGCCAACCGAUUAAAGCAUAACUUGAAUUUUUAACGACAAUGCACUAAUGGAAAUUGUAAGCGCCUUAAAAGUUCAAUAAAUAACGAAGAGCAUAGCAAGCACGUGUAGCGGAUAGUAUGAAAUUUCAGAAAUUAAAUUUUUAAGCUGUACGAAGGACAUACAAAAUGGGAGAAAAGCAAUUGCAAGUGGAAAAUAAUAAAAAGUCUAAAGUAGUUUCGCGCAGUUAAGAUGGAACAUUAGAGCUAAAACUAUGUAACUAAAACUAGUACAUAAACAGUCGGUAUGUAAAAGUAUUCGCAGUUGAUUAGUAAACUUGCAACCCACCAGGCAACCAGCCAGCCCUCCAAUAAAUCCAAUGUAUCGAAACAUGAAAGUUUUGUUGCGCAAAUCUCAUUUCCGCAAUUUGUGGGCGCUAGGAACGGCAAAAUAUUGUAACAGAGGCUAAGAUAUCGACAGACAGACGCUUAAAGUUUCCCGCCAACUGUGUGAAGCUGCGUCAAAGCGAAGUGCCGCGAAACAACGCUGUUGCACGGCCGUUAGUUAUGCUGAGUGGAUUGGAACAGGAGGUUGAGUUUGAUUGGAAUCACGGUAGCGUGCAUGACUAGUUGCUGCUCGGAUGUAAGCACGAAUAAGUGUAUAUAUUUCCCUGUUUGGCGCACAGCCAAAAUUCGAGCCGUCAAAACAGACAAAUAGUCAACUUGUACUCGCAUGUAGGAGAAUACAUCGUCACACUAUCACCCAGUCAACAAGUCAGCUGGGUCCAAGACGCAGCAGAUGAGACAAAUGAAUUGUGGUUGUGAGCUUGAGUGAAGGUUUUUUUGCGGGAGCUACAAGAAAAAAAAAGCAAAAAAUUACUUAUACAUGCAAACAAUCGCCGGGAUAGCUGACAGUUGGUGCGAAUGCCAGCUGGUGAUGCGAAGUAAUAAGAAGUGGAUAGCGCUCUACGAAUCUGAAUGGAGCUGGGUGGCAUUAUAAAAAUAUAUUAGCCUAUUUAAGUGAUAGGAAAGUCUAUGUACUCAGGAUGGACCCGGGUUUAUAUCCGGCCAAGGACGAUUAACUCUGUAGCACUCCUCAAAAUUAUGGUGUGACUAUCUCUGCAAGUCAAACGAGGAAAUCGUUGCAUUUGAUGAAAUUACACGAACUGCUGCUUCGUCGGAAUACACAAUCGAGCGUUAGGAGUUCAGCAAAGUAUUGCUAGCUGAGCGGGUGGACAAGCCUCACUUAGACUCAAUGCAGGUUAACUGUUGCGCUUGACGGGCGCAUGGAAGACUGGCUAUGUGUGGGGGUUCGAAGCUGUAACAAUUCGAUAGAAAAUUUUACAGAAAGUCAACACACGCGCACACAUUGAGGACAAGGCACAAACAAGCUGCCAGACAUUAAAAAUAAUGCUAAAAGCUGGCAAUAAAAGAAAGGAUAACCACGUGUGCACAAUAAAACGAACAUAAAAAGAGUAAAACGAAAAAUUUAAGAAAAUCGCAAAUGCAAGUAAAGAAACGAGAAGGUUCAAAGCGUGCCAACAACUUGAAUGUACAAUAAUAAAGAAAGUAAAUCUUGGAUCAGCAGUAAAAAUAUAUUGAGCGAGUUGGAAAAAUGCUUUGAAAAGUUCUCAAGAAUACUGAAGGCGACAUAGAAUGCGAAUGCGUGGGUAAAAAAUGCGUAAAUGGCGAAGGUCAAACCGGUAAACCGAAAAAUGUGCGUCAGUGAAAACAUUGUUGAAACAGAACAAGCUAUAUACGUACUAUUUACCAAUUAGAGGAGGUAUGUUUGUGAGGUGAGACUUUGGCUCUGCAAUACAUGUGUGAGCGUAGUAGCGUAGGUAAGCUAUUAGCCAUGCAACCAUAUUACUAAUGAUGGCGUUUAUGUGCCACAUCCGUUUCCGGCGAAUGCGCGUUCCGGUUGUUGCACAAACAUAUGCAUAGACGCGGUACGUUUAAUGCCAGAGCCAAAGGAAUUGUAAUGUGAAAGUCGGUGAAAGAGUAAGCGUGACGAGGGAAUAAAGACACAGGAAUUAAAUUGAUAUAAGGCAGUAGGCAAGACACCGAUGCGAAUUUAUCAAAGGAUGUGAUACUACAUUUUAUUUCCAAGGGGUUCGGUCAAACGAAAACCCUCAAAUACAUUUGAAAUUUUUUUCUGGAAGUAAAGAAACGGGAAUCUAAUGACUUUCUUUCAGGCUUUA